UACGGGGGGAGCAAGCGUUGUUCGGAUUUACUGGGCGUAAAGGGCGCGUAGGCGGCCAGCACAAGUCAGUUGUGAAAUCUCCGAGCUUAACUCGGAAAGGUCAACUGAUACUGUGCGGCUAGAGUGCAGAAGGGGCAACUGGAAUUCUUGGUGUAGCGGUGAAAUGCGCAGAUAUCAGGAGGAACACCGGUGGCGAAGGCGGUGAUCUGGGCCGGCACUGACGCUGAGGAGCGAAAGCGUGGGUAGCAAACAGG
rnacentral:rRNA from 1 species